rnacentral:lncRNA from 10 species
UUGGAAAACAACAAUUGUCUAUGACCUGGUGAGCAAAGUCUCCAAGGACAGGCUUCACAGGGAGGCUCUGUGAGGGCGCAGAGACCCCAGGGAAGAGCUGACCAAGCAAGAACAGCAAGAACCGAGAGCAGCGGCUGCUUUUUCAAGUGGCUGGGUCGAUUGAGGCCAUCGUGCACAUUCAGGCUGGGCUUGCUGAGACACCCUCCCACUCACGACCCUACACGUUUCAGGAGGUGACCCAGGGGAGCCGCAGCGCUAUCACACAGCUUCUACAAGCCGAUUCAACCUCUAGUAAAAUUUUGGCAUGAUCCUGAGCACUGGGGAUUCAAAGAUGGCUACAACACUGUUCAUAUCCUCAAGGAGGAUGGCAGAUAAUAUAUAAACAUUUCAGGACAGCAGACAAGAAUCCAAGCUCAAGCAGAGUACUAGGAGUCUCCUUUGGGGCGGAGAGGAUGGAGCAGCUAAUCGUGUCCGGAGCAUCUGGGAAGGCUUCUUGAGAAGCACAGGACUGCAUCACAUCUAAAUUCCUCCAUCUGGCAUCCCCGAGGACCUCUGCAAUCUGUCUACACUCAACCUACCAACAACCAACUGACGUCUGUCAUGGGUCCAGCGAGGACAGUGCCCCUGCCCCUCCUGAUGCCCCUUCCUCCUCCACGUGCCUCCAGUCCCUCAGCUCCCACAGCCUCCCACAUAUCUGCAUACUCACUGGAAGGUACGGUCUUCACGUCUGCUCUUUUCCAAGACUGAAAGCACUCCUGUUUGUCUAAAUCCUGCUUCACCCUUUAAGGGAAGACUAAGGAGUUUCAUUUCCUCUGAGCAUCAUUUUUCCCCUUUUGAAAGCCUAAUGUACUUAGGAUGAACCAAUGACCACCACAUGCCUGCUGCUUCUAACCCCCAUCCCCCGGCCAUAACAGACAUUCCCACUGGUCAUCAGACGGCACUCUUUCUCCUGGCACCCUGAGGCAGUGUCACAUGUUUUGCCAUUCAGGCAGCACCCACUGGGUAGAGUUGGCAUCCAAGUUGAAACUGUUUGCCAUCCAGAGCUAAAAAUUAUAUCACAUGUUUUGACAUGUCAUCAUGAAGGUAAAUCAUAUCAACAAACAAUUGAGCACCAACCAAGUACAAGAGCAGAGAAGGGUUGGGAAGGUGAACCUAUUGAUACACUGUCUCGUAUCAUUUGCAGCUUGUCAGUGCCUUGAGGACAAAAACCAUAUUCCAUCUACCUCUGCAGAAUCCCCUCACAGUACCAAAGCAGAGAGCUGGGUACUUCACCUCACUAGAUUCCAAGAUCCCAUCUCUACACAAAAGGAGAAACAGAACCAUUAUCUCGGGCUACAUUUCUCAGCACCUGGGCCAGCAAUCUUGUCUUAGUUGUCACCCAGGCCAGAAUCCCAUUUACCCCAUCCUAGUUGGCACUGCAGAGUUAUGCUUUAUUUCUAAACCAUGUCAGGCCUUUGCAUCCCAUCCCAAUGGCUCAGGUAAAAUUGGAUGGCAAUGGGAAUGUGCCCUACAUGGGCUGAUCAAAGUCAUACACUGUCUCCCUGGGAAUCUAUGGAGUUCAGGUCAACCCUCCAAUAUGUCUACUUCCUUUGCCAAAAAGUAAGAAAUGGUGGCUGGGCACAGUGGCUCACGGCUGUAAACCCAGCACUUUGGGAGGCCGAAGCAGGUGGAUCACCUGAGAUCAUGAGUUCAAGACCAGCCUGGCCAAACACGGUGAAACCUAUCUCUACUAAAAAUACAAAAAUUAGCUGAGUAUGGUGGCACGAGUCUGUAAUCCCAGCUACUUGGGAGGCUGAGGCAUGAGAAUUGUUUGAACCCGGGAGGCAGAGGUUGCAGUGAGCCGAGAUAGCACUGCUGCACUCCAACCUGGGUGAGAGCGAGACUCUGUGUCAAAAAAAAAAAAAAAAAAAAAAGUAAGAAAUGAGUGAACAUUUCAAAAUGGCAGGAACUGGUUAAGUUUAAAACUGAACACUUUCAUUUUGACAAGAAAGCAGUCAUUCUUUUUCUCCAUUAACAGAGAUAAAGAAAAGCUUUUCAAAUCUGUAUAUGGCUACGUUGAUUGACGUCUGAGUUAAAAAUGAAAUCUCAGCCGGGCGCGGUGGCUCACACCUGUAAUCCCAGCACUUUGGGAGGCUGAGGUGGGUGGAUCAUGAGGUCAGGAGAUGGAGGCCAUCCUAGCUAACAUGGUGAAACCCCAUCUCUACUAAAAAUACAAAAAAUUAGCUGGGCAUGGUGGCAUGCACCUGUAGUCCCAUCUACUCAGGAGGCUGACACAGGAGAAUCACUUGAACCCAGGAGGCGGAAGUUGCAGUGAGCCGAGAUUGUGCCACUGCACUGUAGCCUGGUUGACAGAGCGAGACUCCAUCUCCAAAAAAAAAAAAAGAGAGAGAGAGAGAAAUCUCAUUUCCCUGUUGCUCAGUCAUGUUCCUAUAAACAUACUACUUGCAUGCCUGGACAGUUAUCACUUUCCAACCUCUUAUCUCGGUGAUUUCCCAAGCUACAGAGUAAGAUAGGUGGAGAAUUUUUGUAUUUUUAGUAGAGACAGGGUUUCACCAUGUUGGUCAGGCUGGUCUUGAACUCUGGCCUACACAACAGAGCAAGACUCCGUCUCAAAAAACAAAUAGGCAGAGAAGGGGUUAUUUACAUUUCACAGAUGAGGUUCACAGGCACUGAGUUAUUUUUGCUACAGUCAACGUGAACAAUACAAACAGCAAUUGUGCCCUCUGGUUUGAAGAGACCUGGCUCCACCCACCUGGUGGGGAAAACUACAACUCCACCCUGGUCCCAUGCCUGCCAGCUCUCACCUGGACUCCUCUGUUGUCUCACGUAAGUCACAUCUAAGUAUGACCUCAGCUGCUCAAAGGACUGCUGAGAAAGUUAGUCAAGUUAUCCAACCAACACUCAGCAAACCGAGGACCCAUCUGGGAGGUGGAGCCACCCUACCCAAUCACAGCUGUUGGGAGUGUAUCUGUCCCAGUGGGUGGCACAGCUGAGCUCCUACCUAGAGGUGGCCACCAUGCUAGGAAGCACCUUCACCUUGGACAGUGGGCUCAGGUUCUGGCUCUGCCACUUAUUAGCUAUGCAGACUUGGGCAAGUGACUUUACCCCUCCUCACUGCAGCUUCUUCACUGUAAAAUGAGAAUACAGACACCAGAAGCUACCCAGGUUUGUUGGUAAGUGCAAAUGAGGCAGCCUAUGUAAACAAGAGCCAGUGUCUUCGUGUGGCAAACCCCAUGGCAAGUUCUCAUGGAACAUUGGCUAUUACUGCUGUGUCUAGUCUAUGUAACACUCACUGCCCUGCCCCAGCCACCAGCCACCACCCAGGAACAGCAUGGUGCCCGGUGCAGAGUAACUGCUAAAUACUAAGUUAGUAUACUCACAAUGUACCUAACUCACUGAUGACCCUGAAGGAGGUGCACAAUUCUUCCCGGAGGAGGCCCUGCCCUGGCUUAGGGCUGGCUCUGCUAUGAGGGAGACAGCUGCCUCAUCUAAAGCUGCUCUUACACCUUCCUGGACUGUCCAGAAAAACUCUCUAUGGUUUGCUAUAGACAGAACAGUCAGAAGGUGAAAGAGGGCCCAGAUCCCCAGGCCCAAUCUUACCCCAACUCCAUUCAUUGCUAAGGCUAAGAAUGUCUGUGGGUCAGUGGAGAACAGGCAGCACUCAUCUCAUCAGAGAAACUACUCUUUCAUACGAACGUCUCCAAUGUAUGGACACCAUUUUCCCACUGAGUGUGCCGACACCAUAGAAACACGGAUCAUACCUUUCUAAGUAAAUAUAUGAAUAGAAGCUUUAAAAUAUUUUAAGUAUGGAGUCUAUAAUUAAGACACAGCGUUUGAGAUAUUUACACAGAAGAUUAAUGACUCCAUGCACAUAAUUCAUCAUUGCUUUAGUAUUACCAAGUAAUAUUAAGUUAAUUAAGAGACAUUGGGAGGCCAAAAAACCAGGCAUGACCCAACUGCAGCCCUGCAAUGGAAAUGAAUGAGCAAGUCAGCAGGCAGAACUGAGUCUCGGGAGACCCACACUGAGCUGAGGAGUAUCUAAGAAACCCAUGUCACUUGCACUGACCUGCUCUUGCCAGUCCAAGGUCACUCUCAUCCAUUAUUUGACACCUCCCAGAGGCUAGAGAGAGGGCUCCGUCACCAUUUCCCAAGCUCAGAACCCACACAGGCCUUUCCACAGGCAAUUCCACUCCCAGGGAACCUGGUGGCUCCAAGAGGAGUUACUAGGGGAUUAUAUUGAGUUAGGUGGCAAGGGCUGGUUAAUUAUCUCUACUCUUCUUUUGAAAGUAAAUUUUAUGUUUUAAAUUGCUUUCCUUGCUCCAAAAAAAAAACCUUAGAGCAGCAAGAAUAUAAAAAUUCAAAGUAGGUGAGAAAGGGAACGUUACAUGGCUGUUUAAAAGGAGAAGGCAGAUCCACAUGUGAGGGCAAGAAAGAGUGCCUACGAUCUUAUUAUUCCAGAUUAUUACAGUGUGUAAUACGAAUACUGCAGUGGUAUGAACAUUACAGGCCCCUGGAAUCUGAAAAGAUGGUGACCUCUUCAUAAGCCAGUCUGCAGGGCAAGCACCCAGAAGCAAAGAGGCUUGCCUCAGAGAAAAAGAUCCUUGGGACUUUCCAACUCUACUUUUAGGUAGCUCUGAUUUGUGUGAGCUUUUCCCAUUGAGCAUCUUUUACUUUAAAAUCAGCUGAAACUUUAAAUAUUUAGGACAGAAGAAUAAGGUAAAAUGAAAAAAAAAGAGCGAGGAAAAUAAAAUAAAAAUAAGACCAUUGUAAAGAUGUAUCCUGUGAAGACAUGUCUUUAUUAAUAAGUCUGAGAUUUUUGAUAGUUAAUGUAAAAGAAGGAAAUCAGAUCAGUGACACAAGUCACCUUAACCGUUGAAUGAAACUGUUUCUUGGCACAGAACAAAAUAUUUCUCCAGAGGAUCUGCACAGAGAAAAGAAUCAGUUGACAAUAGGUAUUAAGCAUCAAUUAUAGGAAGUAGAAUAACAUGGAAUUCCUGUCUCCAUGAAAUGUAUACUGUAAUGGAGGAGAGAGGAUUGUUUAAAUAAAAUACAUAUGAAAUUAAUUCAGUGCUUUGUAUCCAGCAAUUUUUGAAAAAUGAAAUAAAAUUGUAUGGAAAAUAUCACAUUGCACA